CUGCUCUCUCUCUCUCUUCUCCCGGCGGCGGGGUGGAUCGGCGGACCGUUCGCGCGCUCUCUUGGUAUUCGCAGGAAUUGGUGCCUGUGGCGACUGUGGUGGGAAACGGGGGGUGCGGGAGCAGCCGUCCCUCCUACCGCAGCGAGAGGCGCCUUGCUUUUGCUUCGCGCCUGGAUGGCUUCCUCGUCCUUUCCCUGAGAGGACCGGCGGGGACUUCUUGAAGGAAGGAGUAGUGGGGAAGGAGUAGAAGGAACGAAGGAACGAAGGAAGGAAGGAAGGCUUUCCCAGAAAUGGAGAUUAAAAGCACCAGCUCGAACCUGGAAGACCCAGCUCUCCAGAAAUCUCCAGAGCGCUGCCCUUUGAACCACCUUUUCUUUUGCACGUGUCCCAUCUGACCGCCUCUCCGCGCGAGUUCCCUCGCGUGUUGGUCACCGAGGGCGAUCCCCGGCCCCUGUAGCCCUCCUCGAGCCUUCUAUCAGCCCCCUCCGGUGAGUCCUUUCUGAACCGUCCCCACAAACCGGUAUUCCAUUCCGCUGUUUUUAGGACAUUUUUUUUUAAACUUCUGAGAGGCUGUUUUAUUUUAUAAGGAGCCGUUGAACAGAGGCUGGAGACUCCCUCCUCCCCCCGCUCUCCGUUACUCCUGCCUGAGCAGCCUUCUCCUCUUUCCCUCCUGCUUCUCGCCGUACAAAGAAGUCUUUAAAAAGAGAUCCCUGCUUGCCCGCUAGCUUGCUGGGGUUGUGCCAGUCCUUCUCCAGCGAGCGCUGGACCUUUUCUCUGGACAGAGCAAAGAAUCUGAGCUACACAGAAGGAGAGGGCACACGGCCCGCCUGGUUCCCAAGGGUUUUUGUAAUGAGGCUUUGGCAUAGGUCCUACAAGCAGAGAACAAAAGAUGGAAAAUGUGAGGGAUACCAUUGUCAGCACUAGAUUUCUGGAGAUUCUUUUAAAGGACUGCUUCAACUUCAUUUCAAGGAAUGAGAAUGCCUUGUUUCUCUGUUCAGCCUGGACGUAAAUAGUGAAUUAUUAUUUGAUUUAUUUUCUGGCCACAAUUAUUUCAGAAAUAGUCCUAGUGAGUUGAUUAUUGUUUAAUCUAUGUUUUGUUACUUGGAAGUGUUUUACUCUGUAACUCCUAAGGAAAUGGAACAUAUCCUAAAUUCUAUUAACCUGAUCACUGUUGAUUAGAUCCAUCCCACUGGUCCAUGUAGUGAAGUCAGUGUGUGGAGAGGUGGUGCCAUCUGUCACGAUGGUGAUGGUAGUAUAGCCCCUUUCUAAAGAAGCCAUCACUAAAUUCAACUCCUCUGCACCAUUUUCAUCCAUUCUCUGGCCUUCCUUUUCUCUUGAGAAAAGAGCGCUGGAUUAAGCAGAUUAUACCCCUAAUAGGGACAAUCUUUUCAGUCAGGUUUCAGGAUAAGACAUAAUAUGGAAAUAGGCCUGCAUAUCACUGCACUUUUUGAUCUCUUGAGGAACUGGGAUAAGAGUAAUGCAACCAACCUAGCUCUUCUUGAGCUCUCAUCCGCUUUCAUUAUGAUUAAUCUUGAUACCCUUCUUAGGAAUAGGAUGUAUGGUGUUAUAUUGGUUUUCCUUUCUCUUGGGUUGGUUUUGGCUAGGGUAUUUAUGAGGGUUAGGUUAAGCUUACAGAUUCUUUCUUGUAGGAUGUCUCAGAGCAUGACAAUCUCACUUCUUCUGUUUAAUGUGUGUGAACCCACUGAGUGAAAUCAUCCACUGACAUAGGGUCCAAUAUCAUCAGUAUGUUGAUAAUAAAUUUACAUCUCUGAAACAAACAAACAGUGCUGUCAAGGUCAUGUUCCACAGCUGGAGGCUGUGAAGAUCCAGAGAGGAAAGAACAUGCUUACAUUUAACUCUGAGAAGGCAAGAGUGGCUGUGCUUUUUUCAAUUUUCCCAGGAUCAGUAAUGUGUCAUAGUUAGGUGUGGAUAAGUUUGCAUUAUCCUAUAUGGAACUGAUUCAUAGUUUAGAGGUCCUCCUGGAUUCUCAGUUCCUGUUGAAGAAGAAGUGGCAGCUCUGACUAGGGAAUCUUCGCAAGAUUCAUCUGAUGCAUUGAUUCUGCCUUUUCCUGGACAGGCAGUCUCUUCUCACAUGCCUUUGUCACCUCAUGUUUGGACUAUUACAAUAGUUGAAACAUGAGUUAAUUAGUCCAAAUUUACUAAGAGCAAUUGAGGUGAUUAUGGCAUAGUUUAUCCAGUUACCUGGAAAGAGUUUUGAUGGCUGUGUUCCUGUUAUAAUAAUAAUAGUAAUAAUAAUAAUAGUAAUAAUAAUAAUAGUAAUAAUAAUAAUAGUAGUAGUAGUAAUA